rnacentral:rRNA from 1 species
GACGAACGCUGGCGGCGUGCUUAACACAUGCAAGUCGAACGGGGUUUACGGAGUAGCAAUACGAAGUAAACCUAGUGGCGGACGGGUGAGUAACGCGUGAACAAUCUGUCUGUGCGAGGGGGAUAACAGCUGGAAACAGUUGCUAAUACCGCAUAAGACCACGAGGCCGCAUGGCCAUGAGGUAAAAGGAGCAAUCCGCGCACAGGUGAGUUCGCGUCCCAUUAGAUAGUUGGUGAGGUAACGGCCCACCAAGUCGACGAUGGGUAGCCGACCUGAGGGGAUGACCGGCCACAUUGGAACUGAGAAGCGGUCCAA